CAGUCGCCACGGUAAUACGUAGGGUGCAAGCGUUAAUCGGAAUUACUGGGCGUAAAGCGUGCGCAGGCGGUUAUAUAAGACAGAUAUGAAAUCCCCGGGCUCAACCUGGGAACUGCAUUUGUGACUGUAUAGCUAGAGUACGGCAGAGGGGGAUGGAAUUCCGCGUGUAGCAGUGAAAUGCGUAGAUAUGCGGAGGAACACCGAUGGCGAAGGCAAUCCCCUGGGCCUGUACUGACGCUCAUGCACGAAAGCGUGGGGAGCAAACAGGAUUAGAUACCCCCGUAGUCCCUGUCUCUUAUAC
rnacentral:rRNA from 1 species